rnacentral:rRNA from 1 species
UCCUACGGGAGGCAGCAGUGGGGAAUAUUGCACAAUGGGCGCAAGCCUGAUGCAGCCAUGCCGCGUGUGUGAAGAAGGCCUUCGGGUUGUAAAGCACUUUCAGUCAGGAGGAAAGGUUAGUAGUUAAUACCUGCUAGCUGUGACGUUACUGACAGAAGAAGCACCGGCUAACUCCGUGCCAGCAGCCGCGGUAAUACGGAGGGUGCGAGCGUUAAUCGGAAUUACUGGGCGUAAAGCGUACGCAGGCGGUUUGUUAAGCGAGAUGUGAAAGCCCCGGGCUCAACCUGGGAACUGCAUUUCGAACUGGCAAACUAGAGUGUGAUAGAGGGUGGUAGAAUUUCAGGUGUAGCGGUGAAAUGCGUAGAGAUCUGAAGGAAUACCGAUGGCGAAGGCAGCCACCUGGGUCAACACUGACGCUCAUGUACGAAAGCGUGGGGAGCAAACAGGAUUAGAUACCCUGGUAGUCCACGCCGUAAACGAUGUCUACUAGAAGCUCGGAACCUCGGUUCUGU